rnacentral:rRNA from 1 species
UACGGAGGGUCCAAGCGUUACUCGGAAUUACUGGGCGUAAAGCGCAUGUAGGCGGUUUGAUAAGUCUGAUGUGAAAGCCCGAGACUCAAUCUCGGAAGUGCAUCGGAUACUGUCAGACUAGAGUGUAGGAGAGGUAAGCGGAAUUCCAGGUGUAGAGGUGAAAUUCGUAGAUAUCUGGAGGAACAACAGAAGCGAAGGCGGCUUACUGGACUACUACUAACGCUGAGAUGCGAAAGCGUGGGGAGUAAACAGG